CUAUGGUGCUAUACAUCAAACACAGUAAACACGCCGACGUUUCAUAGCAGGCUGAGAUUGUGCGACUGCUGCGAUCGAUCGCGAGAGUCAGAAACACGAGCGAUGUAUACCUAUAUGCAGCGUAGAGACAAGACUCCUUGUCGACACCAUUAUGUUACAAAUGAAAGAAUAUUUCCGAACAAUAGUUUCGUUCCUUUCAACAGGAGGUGAAACGGAAAUCCAUUGAACAGAUCGAUAAACAAAGUUUUUAAAAUAUGAAACUUUGUGGUAGACGGUGCUGCCACGAGUACUUUCAAAUCGAUAGCGCGGGAGACAUUUUCACAAGAUUAUCGAUUAUAUGCUUAUUUUGUGAAAAUAUAAAACUUCGAUUAACAA